rnacentral:rRNA from 1 species
UUGAAAGGGAAACCAUUGAAGUCCGUCCUACCGACCAGAAAUCCACUUAUCCUGUGCCAACUUGUGGGCCUGCCUGAGUUUCCGCCUCCCUGUUUGCCUGUUUGUGCCUUUUGGGUGUACUUUUUCGUAUGGUAGGCCCACCUCCGUUUCCAUUAUCAUAAAAUGACCGGCGGAAUGUAGCUUCGAUUUCGGUUGAAGUGUUAUAGCCUCUGGUAGAUGUGGUGAUUGAGACUGAGGAUUGCAACGAAUACCCUUUGGGCUAUCCGUCUGGCCUCUGAAAGUUGCUCAGGUGCCGAAAGCGUGCUUACGGUUAUCUAAGAUAACGUUCAACAGGUUAGAACGUGAUUACAUUCGUUAAGGAUGUUGACGUA